GUACGGGCAGACUAGAGUGCGGUAGGGGAGAUUGGAAUUCCUGGUGUAGCGGUGGAAUGCGCAGAUAUCAGGAGGAACACCGAUGGCGAAGGCAGAUCUCUGGGCCGUAACUGACGCUGAGGAGCGAAAGCAUGGGGAGCGAACAGGAUUAGAUACCCUGGUAGUCCAUGCCGUAAACGUUGGGCGCUAGAUGUAGGGACCUUUCCACGGUUUCUGUGUCGUAGCUAACGCAUUAAGCGCCCCGCCUGGGGAGUACGGCCGCAAGGCUAAAACUCAAAGGAAUUGACGGGGGCCCGCACAAGCGGCGGAGCAUGCGGAUUAAUUCGAUGCAACGCGAAGAACCUUACCAAGGCUUGACAUACACCGGAAACGGCCAGAGAUGGUCGCCCCCUUGUGGUCGGUGUACAGGUGGUGCAUGGUUGUCGUCAGCUCGUGUCGUGAGAUGUUGGGUUAAGUCCCGCAACGAGCGCAACCCUCGUUCUAUGUUGCCAGCGGGUUAUGCCGGGGACUCAUAGGAGACUGCCGGGGUCAACUCGGAGGAAGGUGGGGAUGACGUCAAAUCAUCAUGCCCCUUAUGUCUUGGGCUUCACGCAUGCUACAAUGGCCGGUACAAAGGGCUGCGAUACCGUAAGGUGGAGCGAAUCCCAAAAAGCCGGUCUCAGUUCGGAUUGAGGUCUGCAACUCGACCUCAUGAAGUCGGAGUCGCUAGUAAUCGCAGAUCAGCAACGCUGCGGUGAAUACGUUCCCGGGCCUUGUACACACCG
rnacentral:rRNA from 1 species